AUUGAACGCUGGCGGCAGGCCUAACACAUGCAAGUCGAACGGUAGCACAGAGAGCUUGCUCUCGGGUGACGAGUGGCGGACGGGUGAGUAAUGUCUGGGAAACUGCCCGAUGGAGGGGGAUAACUGCUGGAAACGGUAGCUAAUACCGCAUAACGUCGCAAGACCAAAGUGGGGGACCUUCGGGCCUCACACCAUCGGAUGUGCCCAGAUGGGAUUAGCUAGUAGGUGGGGUAAUGGCUCACCUAGGCGACGAUCCCUAGCUGGUCUGGGAGGAUGACCAGCCACACUGGAACUGAGACACGGUCCAGACUCCUACGGGAGGCAGCAGUGGGGAAUAUUGCACAAUGGGCGCAAGCCUGAUGCAGCCAUGCCGCGUGUAUGAAGAAGGCCUUCGGGUUGUAAAGUACUUUCAGCGGGGAGGAAGGCGGUGAAGUUAAUAACUUCACCGAUUGACGUUACCCGCAGAAGAAGCACCGGCUAACUCCGUGCCAGCAGCCGCCGUAA
rnacentral:rRNA from 1 species